CGCGGCCUAUCAGCUUGUUGGUACGGUAAUGGCGUACCAAGGCAAUGACGGGUAGCGGGUGUGAGAGCAUGACCCGCCUCACUGGGACUGAGACACUGCCCAGACUCCUACGGGAGGCUGCAGUCAAGAAUCUUCCGCAAUGGCCGAAAGGCUGACGGAGCAAUGCCGCGUGGUGGAAGACGCCCUUCGGGGUGUAAACACCUUUUCUGAGGGAAGAAUUUGUGACGGUACCUCAGGAAUAAGUCACUGCUAACUUCGUGCCAGCAGCAGCGGUAAUACGAAGGUGGCAAGCGUUACCCGGAUUAAUUGGGCGUAAAGCGUCCGCAGACUGUUUGGUAAGUCUUUCGUCAAAUCCUGAAGCUCAACUUCAGGGCUGCGAGAGAUACUGCCAGACUAGAGACUGGUAGAGGCGAGCGGAAUUACCGGUGUAGUAGUAAAAUGCGUUAAUAUCGGUAGGAACGCCAAAUGCGAAAGCAGCUCGCUGGAACAGUUCUGACGUUCAGGGACGAAAGCGUGGGGAGCGAAUGGGAUUAGAUACCCCAGUAGUCCACGCCGUAAACGAUGGGUACUGAGCAUCGGGAGUAUCGACCCUCUCGGUGUUGUCUAACUAAGCUAACGCCUUAAGUACCCCGCCUGGGGAGUACGG
rnacentral:rRNA from 1 species